rnacentral:ncRNA from 1 species
GAGAGCCGUGUGAUGGGUGACUAUCCAGCACGGUUCGGAGAGCACAACUAGUCUGCGCUGCUGAAUGGAAGCCCGCAAGAAAGAAGCGGCUCUUCCCACGGCAACCAUUGACUCUAU